UAAUUAUACAAUUGAUUGCUCUUCUUAAAUGUUGUGAUACUUCUUCUUCUCGUUGCCGGCGCCUGGCAACAAACGAAAUUUAAAAAGCGAAACCGAAAAAGAUCGAAAAUUGCAUAAGGGAGAAGACCUCAACUCACAUGCAUGCACUUACACACACACACAUAAACACAGAUGCAUUUGGUUCGUAAGUGUUUUUCAUGUUGUUUUCUGACUCGAUCCGGCAACGACAACGACAACAUCGCCCGCCAUGGCAACAAUAACAUUGUUAACUUUUAUAGCCGACGUUGACUACGACUUGUUGCACUCACACAUACACAAGCAUACGCACUUGCAUACAUGCGUAGACGGCCAUGCCCAAAAGCAAGUUGAACGAGCCAAAGCGCAUUUAAAGAGACUGAGCUUAAGAGCAAAGAGAGACAGAGAGAGAGUGUUCAAAUUGCGUCUCUGAAGAGCGCCCGCUGCUUAGGCCAACAACUUAUUGCUGCGUGCUCUUUGCAUUGUCUUUGGUCACGUCGUCCAGCAGCAACAACAACAACAGCAGCAGCAGCAGCAAGCCAUGGACCAAGUUUGAUAGGUCACGUAUGCGCAUAUGAUUAGUUGACCACUGAAAAAUCUUGUCCUGCUAUCGACUCACACACACACACACCACGCACCAAAUGUGGUGUAGUGUGCGUUAAUCUUCUUGUGGCAGCUAACCUUGGCCUAAAUGCUGGGCAUGACAGACAGUUGCUUGCUUGUUGACACAGACCGCAAACCGAAACCAGCUUAGCCCACAAACAGUUGCGAUGCAGCUUUAUGGCAGCUUAAAGCUCUGCUUAGCGAAGACAACAACCAUGCUGUUAAAGCACUGUUAAAAGUUGUAGCAAUUGAGAUUUGAAUUUACAU